rnacentral:rRNA from 1 species
AUUGAACGCUGGCGGCAGGCUUAACACAUGCAAGUCGAGCGGGGGGAGGUAGCUUGCUACCGGACCUAGCGGCGGACGGGUGAGUAAUGCUUAGGAAUCUGCCUAUUAGUGGGGGACAACAUCUCGAAAGGGAUGCUAAUACCGCAUACGUCCUACGGGAGAAAGCAGGGGAUCUUCGGACCUUGCGCUAAUAGAUGAGCCUAAGUCGGAUUAGCUAGUUGGUGGGGUAAAGGCCUACCAAGGCGACGAUCUGUAGCGGGGCUGAGAGGAUGAUCCGCCACACUGGGACUGAGACACGGCCCAGACUCCUACGGGAGGCAGCAGUGGGGAAUAUUGGACAAUGGGGGGAACCCUGAUCCAGCCAUGCCGCGUGUGUGAAGAAGGCCUUAUGGUUGUAAAGCACUUUAAGCGAGGAGGAGGCUACUUUAGUUAAUACCUAGAGAUAGUGGACGCUACUCGCAGAAUAAGCACCGGCUAACUCUGUGCCAGCCGCCGCGGUAA